rnacentral:rRNA from 1 species
GACGAACGCUGGCGGCGUGCUUAACACAUGCAAGUCGAACGGAAAGGCCCUGCUUUUGUGGGGUGCUCGAGUGGCGAACGGGUGAGUAACACGUGAGUAACCUGCCCUUGACUUUGGGAUAACUUCAGGAAACUGGGGCUAAUACCGGAUAGGAGCUCCUGCUGCAUGGUGGGGGUUGGAAAGUUUCGGCGGUUGGGGAUGGACUCGCGGCUUAUCAGCUUGUUGGUGGGGUAGUGGCUUACCAAGGCUUUGACGGGUAGCCGGCCUGAGAGGGUGACCGGCCACAUUGGGACUGAGAUACGGCCCAGACGCCUACGGGAGGCAGCAGGGGGGAAUAUGGCACAAGGGGCGGAAGCCUGAUGCAGCAACGCCGCGUGCGGGAGGACGGCCUUCGGGUUGGAAACCGCUUUCGCCUGUGACGAAGCGUGAGGGACGGUAAUGGGUAAAGAAGCACCGGCGAACUACGU